rnacentral:rRNA from 1 species
UGGGGGAAUAUUGGACAAUGGGCGCAAGCCUGAUCCAGCAAUGCCGCGUGUGUGAAGAAGGCCUUCGGGUUGUAAAGCACUUUUAUCAGGAGCGAAACGCUGUCGGCUAAUACCCGGCGGAACUGACGGUACCUGAGGAAUAAGCACCGGCUAACUUCGUGCCAGCAGCCGCGGUAAUACGAAGGGUGCAAGCGUUAAUCGGAAUUACUGGGCGUAAAGCGUGCGUAGGCGUUUCUUAAGUCUGCUGUGAAAUCCCGGGCUCAACCUGGGAAUGGCGUGGAUCUGGGAGGCUAGAGUGUGUCAGAGGGUGGUGGAAUUCCCGGUGUAGCGGUGAAAUGCGUAGAGAUCGGG